GAGCCCGGUCGUCUAGCGGCCAAGGAUGCGGGGCUUUGGACCCCGUGGCCCGUCGAGCCCCUUAUGGGGCUCGGGCUAGGGUUCGAAUCCCGGCCGGGCUACC
rnacentral:tRNA from 1 species